rnacentral:rRNA from 1 species
AUUGAACGCUGGCGGCAUGCUUACACAUGCAAGUCGCACGGCAGCGCGGGCUUCGGCCUGGCGGCGAGUGGCGAACGGGUGAGUAAUGCAUCGGAACGUGCCCAGUAGUGGGGGAUAGCCCGGCGAAAGCCGGAUUAAUACCGCAUACGACCUGAGGGUGAAAGCGGGGGACCGAAAGGCCUCGCGCUAUUGGAGCGGCCGAUGUCGGAUUAGCUAGUUGGUGGGGUAAAGGCUUACCAAGGCGACGAUCCGUAGCUGGUCUGAGAGGACGACCAGCCACACUGGGACUGAGACACGGCCCAGACGCCUACGGGAGGCAGCAGUGGGGAAUGUUGGACAAUGGGGGCAACCCUGAUCCAGCCAUGCCGCGUGCGGGAAGAAGGCCUUCGGGGUGUAAACCGCUUUUGUUCGGGAAGAAAUCCUCUGGGCUAAUACCCCGGGGGGAUGACGGUACCGGAAGAAUAAGCACCGGCUAACUACGUG